UACGGGGGGGGCAAGCGUUGUUCGGAAUUACUGGGCGUAAAGGGUCCGUAGGUGGCUUGCUAAGUCAGACGUGAAAUCCCUCAGCUUAACUGGGGAACUGCGUCUGAGACUGGCAAGCUCGAGUGCAGGAGAGGAACGCAGAAUUCCAGGUGUAGCGGUGAAAUGCGUAGAUAUCUGGAGGAAUACCGGUGGCGAAGGCGGCGUUCUGGACGGCAACUGACACUGAGUGAACGAAAGCCAGGGGAGCAAACGGG
rnacentral:rRNA from 1 species